GUGACAGAAGAGAGUGAGCACACAUGGUACUUUCUUGGAUGAUAAGGUUUCAUGCUUGAAGCUAUGUGUGCUUACUCUCUAUCUGUCAC
rfam:Vigna angularis cultivar Jingnong 6 chromosome 7, whole genome shotgun sequence.